rnacentral:rRNA from 1 species
AACGAACGCUGGCGGCAGGCUUAACACAUGCAAGUCGAACGCCCCGCAAGGGGAGUGGCAGACGGGUGAGUAACGCGUGGGAAUCUACCCAGUUCUACGGAACAACUGAGGGAAACUUCAGCUAAUACCGUAUACGCCCUACGGGGGAAAGAUUUAUCGGAAUUGGAUGAGCCCGCGUUAGAUUAGCUAGUUGGUGGGGUAAUGGCCUACCAAGGCGACGGUCUAUAGCUGGUCUGAGAGGAUGAUCAGCCACACUGGGACUGAGACACGGCCCAGACUCCUACGGGAGGCAGCAGUGGGGAAUAUUGGACAAUGGGCGCAAGCCUGAUCCAGCCAUGCCGCGUGAGUGAUGAAGGCCUUAGGGUUGUAAAGCUCUUUCAGUGGGGACGAUAAUGACGGUACCCACAGAAGAAGCCCCGGCUAACUUCGUGCCAGCCGCCGCAGUAAUAC